rnacentral:rRNA from 1 species
ACUGAGACACGGCCCAGACUCCUACGGGAGGCAGCAGUGGGGAAUAUUGCACAAUGGGCGCAAGCCUGAUGCAGCGACGCCGCGUGAGGGAUGAAGGCCUUCGGGUUGUAAACCUCUUUCAGCAGGGAAGAAGCGCAAGUGACGGUACCUGCAGAAGAAGCGCCGGCUAACUACGUGCCAGCAGCCGCGGUAAUACGUAGGGCGCAAGCGUUGUCCGGAAUUAUUGGGCGUAAAGAGCUCGUAGGCGGUUUGUCGCGUCUGCUGUGAAAACUCGAGGCUCAACCUUGAGCUUGCAUCGGGUACGGGCAGACUAGAGUGUGGUAGGGGUGACUGGAAUUCCUGGUGUAGCGGUGGAAUGCGCAGAUAUCAGGAGGAACACCGAUGGCGAAGGCAGGUCACUGGGCCACUACUGACGCUGAGGAGCGAAAGCAUGGGGAGCGAACAGGAUUAGAUACCCUGGUAGUCCAUGCCGUAAACGAUGUCAACUGGUUGUUGGACGGCUUGCUGUUCAGUAACGAAGCUAACGCGUGAAGUUGACCGCCUGGGGAGUACGGCCGCAAGGUUGAAACUCAAAGGAAUUGACGGGGACCCGCACAAGCGGUGGAUGAUGUGGUUUAAUUCGAUGCAACGCGAAAAACCUUACCUACCCUUGACAUGCUAGGAAUUCUGCAGAGAUGUGGAAGUGCUCGAAAGAGAACCUAGACACAGGUGCUGCAUGGCCGUCGUCAGCUCGUGUCGUGAGAUGUUGGGUUAAGUCCCGCAACGAGCGCAACCCUUGUCAUUAGUUGCUACGAAAGGGCACUCUAAUGAGACUGCCGGUGACAAACCGGAGGAAGGCGGGGGACGAC